UACUCUGCAAAGGAAAUUAAAAUAUGAAAGCAUUAAUAUAGAUGUAGAUGUUUUUAAAAGUUUCUCAUUUAUUUGUUGACUUAAAUGUAGUGCUGAUAAUUGAACACCAUAAAAUACACUUUGAUCUUCCUUGUAUUAAGUUUGACAGAUCAUGUUCUUUUAGAUUAUGUUGAUACAAUAAUAUAAUCUUCCCAUCAAAUGUAUCCAAAAACAUGAGAAUCCUUUAUCUUUCAGUGUCCACUUUGAAGAGUACAUGUUUUCUCUUCUAAAAAGCUUUAGUUUUGUCACAUUUCAAAUAUUAAGGAAAAAAGUGGGCUAACAUACCCACCAAACUCCAUCUCUGCUCUAAAAAUUAGAGUUAUGUUUUUAAACAACCUUAUGUUGGUACCAUUUUACAAAAAUGGAAAAUAACCCACUUGUUUUAUUCCAGCGGCUCACAAAAGAACAACAUUUAUGCUUGGAAAGGAAUUCUGUAAUUAUCUUCCCCAAGGAACAAAAGAGCUCCAGCAACAAUGGGAAACUUAAGCCAGGAUCCAAUAUUUGUUUGAUUCCUUAGUUCACAGCAACAUGCUCCAGCCUAUAAGAAUUUAAUCUUUAGUAGUCAAACUUUAAAAUGCAAAUUUUCCAGAACUGUUCCAUGGAGGGACGCUUCCUGGGAGACUCACUUGCAGGCUGGUUGGAGGCAUCUAGUUUGAUCAGCAUAUUCAAAAAAUCCUAGCUGCCUCUGAGGUCCCCACUGGAACUAUUUGGCAACAGGCUGAGGGCGGUCACUCUCAAACUGUGUGCUUUCAAGAGACCGAAUGGACCCAAACUGUUUGAUAAAGUCAUUUGUAAAUAUUUACUGAUUUGUAAAGAAAAGAGGUUAAACCACCCAAACCCACCCCUACCCCCAUGCUUUCAGUCACAGAGUCCCUUAUUUUCACAACUACUGUAUAACAGGAAGACUGAUGUCUUCCAACGUUUAGACGGCAAAUAAGACAACCAUUCCACUAACAUGGGCUGCAGGAUGGGAGGGGUGUCCAAGCCGAUCCCAUGAAAGGAACACUAAACGUAGGUGAUUCCUAAAAUAGUUAAAGUAUGUUUAAAAUGUUUGUAUUUCAGCCAUCAGUCAAGUCCUUUUCUUGCCAAUGUUAUUCACUCACAGUGCCCAUUAAAAUGUUAUCAAUAGCUCCAACGCACAGCAGCACAGGUGGAAUUCACGGUCUGGGGUACAAUGGGAAUAGAGGAAUUGUACAAAGUCUCAGUUGGAGACUGGCACGAGGGACCAUGCCAGUCACCCAGCCCCAGGCACAGGCCUGACACCACUGUGGAUCUGUCUAUGCCGACACUGCGGCUCCCAGUUUAAUCUUCUGAAUGUUUAAAGACCUGAAAGAUGCCAGCUUUAGAAAAUGUUAUGUUCCUAUAUGCCUUUAAACAUAUAUUUUCAAGUCUGGAAUGGUUCACAGGAUCCAAUGAGACCUCCCAAGUAAAAGAGGCAAUCAUUGCCCUGGUUCUUCCUUCUUUUCUUGUGGAAAAAUCUCUGCAGCACGCUUUGGAAAGAAAGUCAAAAAGGUAAGGAGUGAAAAAAUAGGGGAGGAUAGGGAAGACCAACAAUUACCAAGUUUGGCUAAGGUAAACAACACAAGCCACCAAAGCCUGUCAGCGGCCUCCAUCAUUGGAGGGGUGGGGGAGCCUGCGUCCAACUUGAAGGGCUCCCACAGAGCCCUGAGCCAGGGGCCAGGCCUCUCCUUCCCACGCACACAGGCCUGGUCUAAGCCACAUGGAGGCCAUGGCUGAUAGGCCAGCCUUCCUACAGUGAACUCACCUCAGCUCUCAGAAACUGAAGGCUUUUGUUUUCAACAAGGUACCUCAAAGAGUGUCAAAUUUACCUUACACCAAUAAGACCUCAGACAAAGCAAUUAAAAGCAGCUGGGUCUCACAGGUAACUACCUAGAAGAAUGUGGUUUCUCCUAAUCCUGACCUAAGUAUCUCAUGUACUACACUGUUGUACUACUCAGAAAUGAUAUAGAAUAAGCCCGCAGAUUUGUGUAGAGCAAUUGUGAGGUAACCAAAGAAGAAUGGGUGGUUUGGAGCUACCCAGCCAUGUCUCGGCUACCACUCAUGGUACCGCAGAAGUCUUGGCUCCCUCACUGGUAAGAGUCAACUAUGAGGCCCAGAGAUGUGACAUAAUAUACCUAGCAAAAUGGUCUUAGCUACAGGAACUCAGUGAAAGGCAGGUGGUGUCAUAAAGAUCUCUUUGACAAAAACAAACAAACAAAACGUGAUUGGACAAUGUCUCAUUAACUCCAACCUGAGGCAUUUUCCUCCAAGGAUGCCAAUGGCAAGGUCUUCCAGCAAACAAGGAUAAAAUGGUGGUCUGCUCUCACAUGCUGUUGGUCUUUGUUUAGCAGUAUGAGCUUUCUAACAUUCUUUAUUUUUAUCACUCCCCUAACAUCCUACACAUCAGGCAUGGGCUACUGUAACAUCUCCCUUGCUCGGGAAGGUAAUAUCACUCACUCAUAACAACUUGGCUUCUAGAAGUUUCCUCUUGCCCAGAUCUUCAUAGUGUAGUCAUUGAGCCGAGGUUUAAUUCCAGAUUUGGUCAGUAUGUGUGGCCACAUGUAUUCUCAAACUUUGGAUCAUAAAAAAAAGUUCCUACCUUGACCCUUUCUGCCUUUUAUGGUGAGAAGUUUGCUUUUUUCUUUCUUUAAUAAGCCAGACUCACAUCUCAAGAUCUCUCAUACUUAGAAUUGCUAGCAUUCCAAAAAGAGAAAACAAACAAAAUGCUUCUUGGGGACACACCCAUGAGGAUCCUGUUAAGGCCUCUGAUCAUCUUCCAGGGCCAAGAGUCAGGUUGAGCUUGGGGCACCCCAGAGGCUGGCAGUCUACCUCAUUUUCAAGCUUUCUCCUUGGCUUCAAGUGACAGCUCCAACUUAUUCAAAGAUUUACUUGAAAACUCUAAAAUGGAAAUGUAUAGAGGACAGAACGCUUAAGUCUCUGAGACCAGGAAAAGAGAUACUGAAUGCCCCUCACAGAGAAGAGAAGCAUGUAAUUUGAUUAGAGUUGAGUAAUAAGGUUGAGAGGCAGAGCUUUUACAGAAAUAUCUGCAUCUCAUCUAAGACAAGAAUAUGCAGCCCUUUUAAAAAAUGGAAAUAACAGAAGGCCAUGUACCACUAAGUGUUAAGGAAUUCAAAAUAAUAAAGGAAAAAAAACUUCAUACAUACAUUUUUUCUUAUGUGUGUAUGUGUGUAUUUUAUACCCCAGAGAAAAACAGGAUGGAGGAAAAAAAAAUGAGUAAUAGGACAAGGAUGAGGCCAAGUUUUUAUGUCUCUUUAAUUAAAAGGUCUCUAAAGAAUAACGGACAGCUCUGUUAAUAUUUCUUUUAAAAAUCAAUACACAAGAGUAAAAACAAAACAAGAAGAACCUGUACUAUAGACAGAAGUGAUAAAUGGAAGAUGUUUUUUGAACAAAUAACAACUAAAUUAGAUCUAAGGUCUAAAUGUGACAUUUUCCCCCCUUGGGCUCGGGAGAGGUCUCAACCCAGGGACCAUCUCUCCAGGCUCAUUCAUCAGUGCCACAUCUCCCAGAACUUCAGACCUGUCCUGUAGCAUGUAUCAGUCCGUUUGACGUUGACCUUCAAGUCUGGGUCCUUUGCUAGACUGAGAAUUCCUAAGGAAAAGUUCCAUACUUUGAACAUUGUUUGUCAAGGUGUGAGCUAUCGUGAAUUAAUGUGACCAUCAAAAUUAGUACUGUUUUAAUGGAACAGAAUAGAAUCCAAAAAAUAGAACAGAAACCUGUCUAGCGAUGUACUGUGAAAUCGGUAUGUAUGCAUAUACAUGUAAUUCUGAUCACAAGGUAUCAAGCACUUCUGGGAAGCUGGGUUAAUACUGGGUAGGAAUGGUUCCCAGGGUUAUUUCCUUACAGCAUUUCGGGAAAUAAAUCUCUCUGGUUGCAGUCACGGAGCAGUCACGUAUUCCACGUGAUGCUCAGAAGCUGUGCUUGGAAAACUGAGAGGUGGGACCCAUAUCCAAAUGGAACAGGGAGCUGGAUCUGACAUCCUGUGACUUCUGGUUCUUCCCCAAAGUCAAACUCACCGUGAAAGGAGGAAGAGGAAGAGUCGUCCCCAAACACAGAUGGAGGAAUAAGCCGCUGCUCCCUGGUGCACAUUAUCCGCUCACUGAUAAGGAAAAUCAAGAGCCCCAGGAUAUCACGCAUGCGUGCAGAGUCUGGGAGCUGAGCAAGCUACCCGGAAUGACUUCCCGUUUGCAGCAUCAGCUGGGAAUACCCAGACUUGCUGGAAUUGCUGGCUCUCUCUCUCAUGCACCCACAGGACCGACUCUCUCAGAGGCAGACAUGUCUGGGGACAUCCCUUUCAGCCUUGGCAGUAUCCUGGGAGAGACACUUAAAACACACAAAUCUGUCUGCUGCAUGUGAUCAGAUUUUGGAUUUUUUUUGUAUCUGAGCUGAAAGGUUGCAAAUAUAUUAAAGUCAUUUCUCCUUAAAAAGAAAUAUGCUCAUGCUUACCAUCACGAGAGGGGACACUUUAAAUAGGUCUUUAAUACUUUUUCUACUUUUUCAGCAUGGAAAAAAAAUGGAAAUAAAACUGGUAAGAAAGGCA